ensembl:snoRNA
UUCAGAGAUGAGAAUGCUGCAUAGGAAGUGCCGUCUGAUGCGAUAACUGACGCUGGAUAAAGCUGCUCUGAGA